GAUGAACGCUAGCGGCAGGCCUAACACAUGCAAGUCGAGGGGUAGUUACUUUCGGGUAAUGAGACCGGCGCACGGGUGCGUAACGCGUAUGCAAUCCACCUUUUACAGGGGAAUAGCCCAGAGAAAUUUGGAUUAAUGCCCCCAUAGUAUGUAUGAAUCGCAUGGUUUAUACAUUAAAGUUCCAACGGUAAAAGAUGAGCAUGCGUCCCAUUAGUUAGUUGGUAAGGUAACCGGCUUACCAAGACGAUGAUGGGUAGGGGUCCUGAGAGGGAGAUCCCCCACACUGGUACUGAGACACGGACCAGACUCCUACGGGAGGCAGCAGUGAGGAAUAUUGGACAAU
rnacentral:rRNA from 1 species